AAUCUCUUAAAGCCGUUCUCAGUUCGGACUGUAGGCUGCAACUCGCCUACACGAAGUCGGAAUCGCUAGUAAUCGCGGAUCAGCAUGCCGCGGUGAAUACGUUCCCGGGCCUUGUACACACCGCCCGUCACACCAUGAGAGCCGGGAACACCCGAAGUCCGUAGUCUAACCGCAAGGAGGACGCGGCCGAAGGUGGGUUUGGUAAUUGGGGUGAAGUCGUAACAAGGUAUC
rnacentral:rRNA from 1 species